GAGCUACAUCCCCAGCUCUUUUUAAAAAAUUAAUUAACUAGUUAAUUAAUUAAUUUAUAGUCAUGGUCUUGCUAAAUUGCCCAGGAUGGCCUUGAAUUUUCAAUCUUCCUGACUCAGCCUUCUGAGUAAGGUGGGAUUACACAUGCGCUAACAUGCCCAGCAAGUAGGACAACUUUCACAACUCACAAAUCCUGGGAGAGAUGCUCAACAAAGAGAAAUAAGGUGAUCUGGGAGGUAUGGUAUGUCCAUUCAAAGACAUCACCUUAUCUACAGCAAACAUGUGAGUAGUGCUACCCACUGGUGGUAUCCUAGACAUACAUACUUAAAGGUCUGGGUUGCUCCUCCCAGGGCCUACACUUGGACUGCAGGUGGGGAGCAGGAUGGGUAACAAUGGACAGAGUGGUCUAAGUGCAGGUCUCCUGGGUUUUGCAAAAUCCAGUUAGAAGGAUCUCUAUUCUUGCUGUCCAUUUCUAUUCAACUAAGGUUCCAGUUAAGACAUGGCAGCAAUGUAAACAUGCAACCUAAGCAUGAGGUUUUGGACAGUUAAGCCUGAACAAGGAAUAAGGCAACUGAACUGUGAUAUUCAGGCCAGGGUAAUCCAACUGCAACUAUCCAGGCUUGGCCUGGCUCUCAGGAGACUCAUUCUGGCCUGAACCUCCUGGUAAUCAUGACCACGAUUUUCUGGCUUCUGAUUUUAAGUAAAUGCUUUGAAGAUAUAAAUUUGGGAGUUAAAACAGGAUUACCCUUUUCAAGUCUCCAUGACUUGGGCACUUAAAAAAGUUUACUUUCACACUAAGGAAGCCUUAUCAUAGAUUCUCUUUCACUGUUGAUCAUAUUCACUCCUAUGAUUAAAGGAUGAAAAUUAACAGAUUUGAUUAUAGAUCCUCUUUAGGAUAUUCUCUCUUUACCCUCUCUCAUAAUAUUAUACAAACUCGAAAGCAUUAUUUAAAUUCAAAUGUCUACUACAAUGAGAAUCCCUUGAUUCGUCUGUUUACUAAAGCCCACUGAGACUACAUUUGGGAUGUGAUCAAAUCUUCUGGUGCAUUCAUUUUAUAAGAAUAGUCAUGUGGUUCCUUGGACACCAUCUCGGAUGUCAGCAACAUUCCUUAUCUUGCUAUAAUUUGGAUCUUACUAGAACUUUCUCUUUCCUAGAUGACAGCUUGAGCAAUUUAUUUUUGGUUGCUGAAUUUACACACUAUCUUUGAAAACAAACUCUUCCUAAUUGAGUAAGAAAACUUAUAAGCUUCCCUGAAUUCUGCACAAUUCACACAUAAAACUAGGUAGAUAGCAACAUAAGACACUAAAUCGAGAAGCAGAAACACUUUCCAGGAAGCAUGUUCAGAUUAACAUAAGCCAAUCAAACAAAGUAUUCUUUUUUGCUAAAAAAAACUACGACCAAACUAAAACAAGAAUGUAAUUCACAAGUAAUUUCCUAAAAUUUCUGCUAGGAAAAAAAAAAAAAAUCUAUGGACUUAUGAUUGAGUUAUCAUUAAAGCUUAAAUGAUUGUUCCCGAGGAACCAUCACAUCUGUCAGCAUUAUUGACAGCUAAUCCUUAUGCUAGCUGGUUGAGCCAUUUGGGUUUUUACCCCAUCAUUAAAUAGUGCUCAGAAAAGUAAGCAGUGCAUCUUAAUUGGUUAAAUACUACAAAAUGACCUGUAUCAUAGAAACAAAGACACUUUCAUUCAAAAAAUAUCUUAAAAUUACUAUUGCUGAAAUAAAUCAAAAUCUACAUUAAAAUAUUACUAAACACCAUUACAUGCCAUAAAAGAAUAAAUAUAAAUCAUGGCAGAUCAAUAGCAGCAUAACAAAGCAUCUUUACAUAUUUUCACACUUUGGGCUGGAAAAGUUCUCACAGCCAAGGAAUACAUUGGUAAAGUUCUGAAUCUCACACUUUCUUUUUAACUCCAUAGUCUACAAUAAAGUAAGGGCCGUGUGAAUAACAGCUCCCUUUUCUGCAUAGUUUUAAAACUGUUCUCAGUACACUUGAGGAAUGGAACCAGAAUGGCUUUGUCAGAUUGGUCCACUGGUCCUUUUAUCAAAGUGUUAAAGAAAAUAAUCAACAAUGACUUCUGUGUUUUGACAGAAAAGGAGAAUAAGGCUGUGUUUCACACACGAACUGAACAUUUUCAGAACCACCGGAAUUUAACUUAAAAUGAAGAUUUCUAGUAGGAUAUGGGCAUUCCCAGCUCUCGCCCCUGCUUUGAAGGUGUGACACGCUCCCUCCCACAUCACCACAGAGCCUAGUAGGGCCCUAUUAAAAAGGCAAUGCUGCACUGGAGCCUGUUGCAUGGCAGGACUGGGGACACUUAAAACAAAACACAAAGGAAUUUCAGAACUUUUAAGGCCCAAAUGGGGCACGCAUAUAAAAUAUACUUCACUUGAACAAAUAAUUCCUAAUUUAUCAACUUAAACUGUGAUUCUUAAAACUUGAAGCUACUUUGUGGAGCUGACCUACUUUGUUCAGAACUCGACUAUCAGCUUAAUGCCCAAGUUUCUUAGGGGCAGGGGUGUGGGGAGGUGUGGGCUAGGCUGAGUUCUGUGGCAAGGCUGGUGGCUACUCCUCCCUAAGUCUUGAAAGAGAAAGCAAGCUGAAUAUCAGACCCCUCUGUUCACAUACUUGCUUACAGCUGAUGAAAACAAGCAUAUAACUUACACAAUGGUCUUUUUUUUUUGUUUUGUUUUGUUU
rnacentral:lncRNA from 1 species